rnacentral:rRNA from 1 species
ACGGGUGCGUAACGCGUAUGCAACCUACCUUAUACUGGGGUAUAGCCCGGAGAAAUUCGGAUUAAUCCCCCAUAGUAUUAUUGAUUCGCAUGUUUUGAUAAUUAAAGGUUACGGUAUAAGAUGGGCAUGCGUCCCAUUAGCUAGAUGGUGAGGUAACGGCUCACCAUGGCGACCAUGGGUAGGGGGCCUGAGAGGGUGGUCCCCCACACUGGUACUGACACACGGACCACACUCAUACGGGAGGCAGCAGUGAGGAAUAUUGGUCAAUGGGCGCAAGCCUGAACCAGCCAUGCCGCGUGCAGGAAGACGGUCCUAUGGAUUGUAAACUGCUUUUAUUCGGGAAUAAACCUCCUUACGUGUAGGGAGCUGAAGGUACCGAAUGAAUAAGCACCGGCUAACUCCGUGCCAGCAGCCGCGGUAAUACGGAGGGUGCAAGCGUUAUCCGGAAUCAUUGGGUUUAAAGGGUCCGCAGGCGGUCAUAUAAGUCAGUGGUGAAAGCCUACAGCUCAACUGUAGAACUGCCAUUGAUACUGUACGACUUGAAUUCGGUCGAAGUGGGCGGAAUAUGACAUGUAGCGGUG